rnacentral:rRNA from 1 species
AGUGAACGCUGGCGGUAGGCCUAACGCAUGCAAGUCGAACGGCAGCACAGUAAGAGCUUGCUCUUACGGGUGGCGAGUGGCGGACGGGUGAGGAAUACAUCGGAAUCUACUUUUUCGUGGGGGAUAACGUAGGGAAACUUACGCUAAUACCGCAUACGACCUACGGGUGAAAGCAGGGGAUCUUCGGACCUUGCGCGAUUGAAUGAGCCGAUGUCGGAUUAGCUAGUUGGCGGGGUAAAGGCCCACCAAGGCGACGAUCCGUAGCUGGUCUGAGAGGAUGAUCAGCCACACUGGAACUGAGACACGGUCCAGACUCCUACGGGAGGCAGCAGUGGGGAAUAUUGAACAAUGGGCGCAAGCCUGAUCCAGCCAUACCGCGUGGGUGAAGAAGGCCUUCGGGUUGUAAAGCCCUUUUGUUGGGAAAGAAAAGCAGCAGGUUAAUACCCCGCUGUUCUGACGGUACCCAAAGAAUAAGCACCGGCUAACUUCGUG